CCCCAUCCGACCCGUCUUGAAACACGGACCAAGGAGUCUGACAUGCGUGCGAGUCGACGGGUUUUGAAACCUGGGAUGCGCAAGGAAGCUGACGAGCGGGAGGCCCUCACGGGCCGCACCGCUGGCCGACCCUGGCCUUCUGUGAAGGGUUCGAGGUGGAGCACGCCUGGCGGGGGCCCCAAGAAGGCGAACGAUGCGUGCGCCGUGUAGGACGCCACUGUCACCAC
rnacentral:ncRNA from 1 species